rnacentral:rRNA from 1 species
AACGAACGCUGGUGGCAUGCCUAAUACAUGCAAGUCGAACGAGAAAGCACUUCGGUGUGAGUAAAGUGGCGCACGGGUGAGUAACGCGUAGAUGAUAUGCCUUAUAGUGGGGGACAACAUCGUGAAAACGGUGCUAAUACCGCAUAAGCUUAGUGACAUUGAAAAAGCUAAGGAAAGGGGCUUCUGGUCUCGCUAUAAGAUUGGUCUGCGUGACAUUAGCUUGUUGGUGGGGUAAUGGCCUACCAAGGCGACGAUGUCUAGCUGGUCUGAGAGGAUGAUCAGUCACACUGGAACUGAGACACGGUCCAGACUCCUACGGGAGGCAGCAGUAGGGAAUAUUGCACAAUGGAGGAAACUCUGAUGCAGCAAUGCCACGUGAGUGAGGAAUGUCUUCGGAUUGUAAAGCUCUGUCCUAUAGGAAGAACGGCUUUGGGUAACGCCAAAGAUUGACGGUACUAUAGAAGAAAGCACCGGCUAACUCCG